UACAGAGGGUGCGAGCGUUAAUCGGAAUUACUGGGCGUAAAGCGCGCGUAGGCGGCUUUGCAAGUCGGGUGUGAAAUCCCCAAGCCUAACCUGGGAACUGCAUUCGAGACUGCAUGGCUAGAGUAUCGGAGAGGGAAGUGGAAUCUCAGGUGUAGCGGUGAAAUGCGUAGAUAUCUGAAGGAACAUCAGUGGCGAAAGCGACUUCCUGGACGAAUACUGACGCUCAUGUGCGAAAGCGUGGGGAGCAAACAGG
rnacentral:rRNA from 1 species